GGACAGAAAGACCCUAUGAAGCUUUACUGUAACUUGGAAUUGGAUUUGGGCUUUUCUUGCGCAGCAUAGGUGGGAGGCAAAGAAAUUAAAUUUGCGGAUUUGAUGGAGCCGUCAAUGAGAUACCACUCUGGACAAGCUAAAAUUCUAACUUUGAGCCGUUAUCCGGACAAAGAACAGUUUCAGGUGGGCAGUUUGACUGGGGCGGUCGCCUCCUAAAAAGUAACGGAGGCGUGCAAAGGUUCCCUCAGGCUGGUCGGAAAUCAGUCGUAGAGUGUAAAGGCAUAAGGGAGCUUGACUGCAAGACCUACAAGUCGAGCAGAGACGAAAGUCGGCCUUAGUGAUCCGACAGUGCCGAGUGGAAGGGCUGUCGCUCAACGGAUAAAAGUUACUCUAGGGAUAACAGGCUGA
rnacentral:rRNA from 1 species